AUGAAUGCGGUCAACCACUUCUCGAGCUUGCACACCUCCAACCUCCAUUGGCUCAACUCGGCGAACAUUGCCCUCAUUCCUAAGAAAGAUGGGGCGGAGUGCAUCUCCGAUUUCCAUCCCAUUAGUAUUAUCCAUGCCAUUGCGAAGAUUAUAGCUAAGAUGAUGGCUUCGCGUCUCGCCCCGCACAUGCAAAGUCUUCUCUCAAAUGCCCAACGCGCUUUUAUCAAGAAGAGGAGCAUCCAUGAUAAUUUCAUGUAUGUGAGAGGCUUGGCAAGAAAGUUGCAUCGCAACAAGACCCCAACUUUGCUCUUCAAGCUCGAUAUCAGGAAAGCUUACGACUCUGUGAGAUGGGACUUCCUCUUGGAUCUUUUAAGGCAUCUGGGCUUUCCAAGCAGAUUUCGCGACUGGGUUUCCGCCCUACUUUCCACGGCAUCGUCGAGGGUUUUGAUCAAUGGUGUGUUGGGUGAUCCGUUGAAGCAUGGCCAUGGCUCAGACAAGGGAUCCCGUUAUCCCCCUUGUUGUUCGUUUUGGCGAUUGAUCCUCUACACCACCUUCUCAACAAAGCCAUGGCCCAAGGGCAUCUCCAUCCUCUCUAUGCACGACCAUCCGUGCUUCGCUCUAUGCCGACGAUGCUGCCAUCUUUGUCAAGCCCAUCAAAGAGGACGUCCAAUUCCUUGCUUCCUCUCUCGCCUCCUUUGGAGAGGUUACUGGUUUAGUCACCAACUGUGCCAAAAGCCUCGUGGCCCCUAUUCGAUGCGAAAACGUUGA
rnacentral:rRNA from 1 species